rnacentral:rRNA from 1 species
AACGCGAAGAACCUUACCUGGGCUUGACAUGUGAGUGACCGGUGUGGAAACACACCUUCCCUUCGGGGCACUUUCACAGGUGGUGCAUGGCUGUCGUCAGCUCGUGUCGUGAGAUGUUGGGUUAAGUCCCGCAACGAGCGCAACCCCCGUCGCAUGUUGCCAGCAUUUAGUUGGGGACUCAUGCGAGACUGCCGGUGACAAACCGGAGGAAGGUGGGGAUGACGUCAAGUCCUCAUGCCCCUUAUGUUCAGGGCUACACACGUGCUACAUUGGCGCAUACAGAGGGCUGCGAUACCGCGAGGUGGAGCGAAUCCCUUAAAGUGCGUCUCGGUUCGGAUUGCAGGCUGAAAUUCGCCUGCAUGAAGGCGGAGUUGCUAGUAAUCGCGGAUCAGCAUUGCCGCGGUGAAUACGUUCCCGGGCCUUGUA